rnacentral:tRNA from 1 species
GGGAUGCCGAGCGGACUUUGCGGACUUUUAAUCCGUGGGUCGUGGGUUCGAGCCCCACGGGGCCCA